UGGGAUAUGGCUAAACUUUGGGCAUUUGACAAUUGAGAAACCCCUUAACCUCAAGGGCUUGAGUUUUUACCAUCAGGAGCCCAUUUUGAAGCCCAAACUAGUAAGGGGAAUUUGAAUUUGAAAUGUCUUUUCCUUUUUUUCUUAGAAUUAUUCGAGGAAGGAUUUUUUUUUUGAACAAUCUCGUAAUAAUUUUUUACUCUUUU
rnacentral:lncRNA from 1 species